rnacentral:lncRNA from 1 species
CGCUCUUUGACCGCGCGCGUGUGGGCGCUGACCUUGCGGGACUUCUCCAGCAGCUUGCUCACCGUGUUGCUGGUGGAGGCCUGGUACUUGGAGAGCUUGGUGAGGUCAUUCUGGAUGCCCUUCACGGAGCCCUCCAAACUGAUCUGUCGCUGCUCCAUCUUGUGCUGGUUCUCCUGCACAGCGUCUAGCAUGUUCACCAGCUUGUCCAGGAGCGUGAGCACCGUGACUGCGUUCACCUGCAUUGUGGCUCUGGAGACCUGGAAGCACUGCUAACUGUUCUCUCGAUUUUCUGACGCUCGGCCACAUCAACCUGUCAUACUAGUUGUGAGGAGAAGUCAAGGACAGUGACACAGCCAGCCAGUCUGAGGCAUUUUCCAUCAUCCUGAAGGAGUUGCCCUAUCCUGCUUUUCACUGGAGGGGGCAUGGAUGGGGGCUCCUGACACACUGACCUCUGUCAGUUCCUUCAGCACACCAGGCUAAUCCCCAGUCUUGCGCCUUUGGACCAGAGGUUUUCUUUGCUCAGAAUACUGUUUCAACAGAUCUUUGCAUAGCUGGCUCUCGCUAUUUGACUAAAAUGUCAAUCCUCAGAGAGGUACUCCUUAAAUAUCCAAUCUUAAGUAGCAUCCCUUUCUCCCAGGAUCCUGUUUUUCAGAACUCUGUUUUCUUUUUAAAACACUUGUUAUCUGAAAGGAUGUCGUCUGCUUGCUUGUUUGUUCAUUUCUUUAUUGUCUAUUCCAUCUCACCCCUUCUCAGGAUGUAAGCUGUUUAAAGGCAAGGACCUUAUCUGUGUUACAUGCUGUAUUCCCAGGGCUCAGACAGAGCAUGACCUAUCGUAUGUACUAAAUAAAUAUCUCCUCAUACUGUAAA